UACGUAGGGUGCGAGCGUUAAUCGGAAUUACUGGGCGUAAAGCGUGCGCAGGCGGCUAUUUAAGCUUGCUGUGAAAGCCCCGGGCUUAACCUGGGAACUGCAGUGAGGACUGGAUGGCUGGAGUGUGGCAGAGGGGGGUGGAAUUCCACGUGUAGCAGUGAAAUGCGUAGAGAUGUGGAGGAACACCGAUGGCGAAGGCAAUCCCCUGGGCCUGCACUGACGCUCAUGCACGAAAGCGUGGGGAGCAAACAGG
rnacentral:rRNA from 1 species